GAGUUUGAUCCUGGCUCAGGAUGAACGCUGGCGGCGUGCUUAACACAUGCAAGUCGAACGGUGAAGCCCAGCUUGCUGGGUGGAUCAGUGGCGAACGGGUGAGUAACACGUGAGCAAUCUGCCCCUGACUCUGGGAUAAGCGCUGGAAACGGCGUCUAAUACUGGAUACGAACCGUGGAGGCAUCUUCAACGGUUGGAAAGAUUUUUUGGUCAGGGAUGAGCUCGCGGCCUAUCAGCUUGUUGGUGAGGUAAUGGCUCACCAAGGCGUCGACGGGUAGCCGGCCUGAGAGGGUGACCGGCCACACUGGGACUGAGACACGGCCCAGACUCCUACGGGAGGCAGCAGUGGGGAAUAUUGCACAAUGGGCGAAAGCCUGAUGCAGCAACGCCGCGUGAGGGAUGACGGCCUUCGGGUUGUAAACCUCUUUUAGCAGGGAAGAAGCGUGAGUGACGGUACCUGCAGAAAAAGCGCCGGCUAACUACGUGCCAGCAGCCGCGGUAAUACGUAGGGCGCAAGCGUUAUCCGGAAUUAUUGGGCGUAAAGAGCUCGUAGGCGGUUUGUCGCGUCUGCUGUGAAAUCCCGAGGCUCAACCUCGGGUCUGCAGUGGGUACGGGCAGACUAGAGUGCGGUAGGGGAGAUUGGAAUUCCUGGUGUAGCGGUGGAAUGCGCAGAUAUCAGGAGGAACACCGAUGGCGAAGGCAGAUCUCUGGGCCGUAACUGACGCUGAGGAGCGAAAGGGUGGGGAGCAAACAGGCUUAGAUACCCUGGUAGUCCACCCCGUAAACGUUGGGAACUAGUUGUGGGGUCCAUUCCACGGAUUCCGUGACGCAGCUAACGCAUUAAGUUCCCCGCCUGGGGAGUACGGCCGCAAGGCUAAAACUCAAAGGAAUUGACGGGGACCCGCACAAGCGGCGGAGCAUGCGGAUUAAUUCGAUGCAACGCGAAGAACCUUACCAAGGCUUGACAUAUACGAGAACGCUGCAGAAAUGUAGAACUCUUUGGACACUCGUAAACAGGUGGUGCAUGGUUGUCGUCAGCUCGUGUCGUGAGAUGUUGGGUUAAGUCCCGCAACGAGCGCAACCCUCGUUCUAUGUUGCCAGCACGUAAUGGUGGGAACUCAUGGGAUACUGCCGGGGUCAACUCGGAGGAAGGUGGGGAUGACGUCAAAUCAUCAUGCCCCUUAUGUCUUGGGCUUCACGCAUGCUACAAUGGCCGGUACAAAGGGCUGCAAUACCGUAAGGUGGAGCGAAUCCCAAAAAGCCGGUCCCAGUUCGGAUUGAGGUCUGCAACUCGACCUCAUGAAGUCGGAGUCGCUAGUAAUCGCAGAUCAGCAACGCUGCGGUGAAUACGUUCCCGGGUCUUGUACACACCGCCCGUCAAGUCAUGAAAGUCGGUAACACCUGAAGCCGGUGGCCCAACCCUUGUGGAGGGAGCCGUCGAAGGUGGGAUCGGUAAUUAGGACGAAGUCGUAACAAGGUAGCC
rnacentral:rRNA from 1 species